CACGUAGGGUGCAAGCGUUGUCCGGAAUUACUGGGCGUAAAGGGCGCGUAGGCGGCCACCGCAAGUCGGUUGUGAAAUCUCUGGGCUUAACCCAGAAAGGUCAACCGAUACUGCGGGGCUAGAGUGCAGAAGGGGCAACUGGAAUUCUCGGUGUAGCGGUGAAAUGCGUAGAUAUCGAGAGGAACACCUGCGGCGAAGGCGGGUUGCUGGGCUGACACUGACGCUGAUGCGCGAAAGCUAGGGGAGCGAACGGG
rnacentral:rRNA from 1 species